GGAGAGAUGGCUGAGUGGUNGAUAGCCCCGGUCUGAAAAC
rnacentral:tRNA from 1 species